UACGGGGGGGGGUAAGCGUUGCUCGGAAUUACUGGGCGUAAAGGGCGCGUAGGCGGCCUUCUAAGUCGAACGUGAAAUCCCCGGGCUCAACCCGGGAACUGCGUCCGAUACUGGAAGGCUUGAAUCCGGGAGAGGAAUGUGGAAUUCCAGGUGUAGCGGUGAAAUGCGUAGAUAUGACAUAGAACACCGAUUGCGAAGGCAGCUCACUAAGCUGUAACUGACACUGAGGCACGAAAGCGUGGGUAGCGAACAAGG
rnacentral:rRNA from 1 species